ensembl:lncRNA
UGUCUGAUGUUGCCUGUUGAAGUUCAUAUGGACUGCUUUCCAAGACAAGAGCCCAAUUAUUCCUUUGCACAAAUGCAAGAUUUUCUAAAUGUCACCCGUGAACCAAUAGAAGAAUGUUUCCCUUUGAAAGAUCUUCUCAAAGAAGUCACCACUGCUGAUAAACACACGGCUGAGUUGGAGCUCCUGGAAAUGCCUGAAAGCUGCUUUGCUAACAUCACCUUCAAGGAGCCACAAUCUCCAGGUAUGGGAAAUUGCUUUGCAUAUUUAAUCACAAACAAAGAGUGGUUCCUGCCGUAGAUUGCUUUUCUAAUCUCUCUAGUGACUUCAAAACCUUUCAUUCCAGUUGCUUCGAGGUCUUACGCUGAGAUGGAAUUAGACCUGCUUCUUUCACCAUCUAGUCAUACGCUGUGUCUGCCAGACCUGUGUGUGUCCAGCAAACAGCUGUCAGCUGAGAUUCUGUCACCAGUUUAUAAUCAGCAUUUCAUGUCAGACAGUGAUUGUGAAAAUAUGGAAAAAGCUGUUUGGAUGGCAGAGAAACAUCCCCAAUGUGUGGCUCGAUUUUUACUUGCUGGUAAUGUGUAGAAAAUAAUGUGAGAAACUUAGUGUGCAUCCAUAGAAGUGUGUUUAUUUACUAAAAACAUUCACACAAAUACUCCUAUCUUGGCCAUUUUGUUCUUUAGUCAAGUAUUGAUGGCUAGACAAAUAUAUAUAUAUUUUUUUUAGAGCCCUUAAACUCCUUUGUGUUUUUGUACAGAACCAGAGGUAGCUAAGCCACUGGUCCACAUUCAGUCACUCCCAGAGCUUCUCACACUCCUGAAGGUGGAGGUGGAACAGGUUGCAGAACCCAAAGACAAUAUGGGUCAGUUUCACCUCACUGGCAGUACAGUGAUGCUUCCUGAAAACAUCUUCAAAAAUCUCUCCAUCUAUACUGAGAAAAUGUCCACAGAAGACUGUAAGAGAGCUGUGAGAAAGCCACAUGUGGAUGAAACAUUCUCGUCACUGUCUAUUGUGAAUAUAGAUGAGUUGCUGAGUAAGUGUACUUCAAAUGCAGGCACCACCGCAGAUCACCUUUCCCAGAGUAAACCACUGCAGUCAGCUGUACCUACACAGGUGGAUAGAGGUACGACUGUGAAGUUCCUUAUAAUGGAGUCUCACCAACAAGACAGUUCUACAAUGACCACAACCAGAGGAGACUGUAAAGCUGCAGAGAUAAAACAACACAAGUCUGGUCCAGAAGAAAGAUGCUCUGGGAAUUCUUCCACAAGGCCAUCAGAACAGCAGGCCGUCAUCUCUAAAGUGAUUGAGAUGUCUAAGUCUUCUCCACUGAAGCCCAGUGUUAAAUAUAUUGAAGUAAUAUCCAAUAUACAAACACUUCCUAAGCAGUCAGAACAGAAAAGAGAAGAUAUGAUCUCUAAAUCAUCUCCAUUAUCAAACUGUUUGAGAGGCAGAAAGAGAAAUAAUUCUCUAGUUCUGUCUCAUGAAGACCUGAACCCUUUGUCGUCUUUUCUAACAUUAAGAACAAUGAAAAAAUGUCCAAUGCAAAAACCUCAACGGAGCAGUCCAACAUCUGCAGGUAGAGUGAGAGAAUUAAUUGUGUUUAUUGCAACUUUCCUUCCUUAUUGUAACAUAUAUCCAAGUUAA